UACGGGGGGGGCAAGCGUUGUUCGGAAUUACUGGGCGUAAAGGGCUCGUAGGCGGCCAACUAAGUCAGACGUGAAAUCCCUCGGCUUAACCGGGGAACUGCAUCUGAUACUGGAUGGCUUGAGUUCGGGAGAGGGAUGCGGAAUUCCAGGUGUAGCGGUGAAAUGCGUAGAUAUCUGGAGGAACACCGGUGGCGAAGGCGGCAUCCUGGACCGACACUGACGCUGAGGAGCGAAAGCCAGGG
rnacentral:rRNA from 1 species